AUCAAGUCCAUUUACCUCGUUUUUUUAUGGUAUUUAAUAAUAUUAAAUUUGAUUUUGUUAAAUUUGAUUCAAAGUUUGGUUUCAAAGUUUGUUUUCCGCGUUUUACCCUUUUCCGCGUUUCAUCCUUUUUUCCCGCGUUUUACUCUUUUUUCCCGCGUUUUACUCUUUUUUCCGCGUUUUACCCCUUUUUUCCGCGUUUUACACUUAUUCCGCUUCCGCUUCUACAAUUCCGCCGUUCCGUUUUCGCGUUUUACCCUACCCCUAUAGAGCGCGUGAGCCUUAAAUUACACUUUCCUCCCGGUGUAUCAAUCGCUGUUGAUUACAUUGUGAUAAAUUAUAUUUUAUCACGAGAACAACUGUUUUAAAUUGCCUGAUUGGCCCCUGUGGCUUUGGCAUUCCGCAAUAUUUAGUUUCCAGUUUCAUAUGACGUUUAAAUAUUGAUAUUAUUAUUUAUUAUGACAGUUAGUUGCACAUAGUUGCAAAAUUAUGCCCGAAACAGAAGCUUGGGCUGUGCAAAAGGUUCAAAUUUGAAAUUUGAACCUAUAUUUUUGCGCUUUCUAUGGAAAUUUCCGUCAAACGUGAUCAAGACAUGCGAGGAUUUUAA